rnacentral:snoRNA from 1 species
ACCAAUGAUGAGAUGUAACAUGAAUCAAAGAUUAUGGUUAAUCUGAUUCAGUGCAGCUGAGGUCAAUU